UUUCAUUCUUACUUGUCGUCUACAACUGUGAAGGUGAGCUGAGUAAUAAUACUGAUAUGACUAUCUUUUUCAGGAAACAAAGCUUAUGCAUGUAGUUUUCCUAUUCCUUUCCAGCUACUCAUUUUUCCUGAGUGAACCCUACUGUAGGCCGGUCAUCAAGCUAUGAUUGAAUGUGCUUAGAUUAUGGGCAUACGGGGUUCAAUGGUUCAUCCAUGUUAGGUUUGGUAUAUGAUCAACCAGGUGGGACAUUUCUUGCCUGUGAAGUCACUAUCCCUUCAUUUUGAACUUAAGAAGACAGAUUUGAUUGAUUUACGGGGUCAUUUUUGGAUUUGUUGUAGUAGUAGUAGGGUUCAUUGUGGAGCCCAGUAAUAGGCCCAACAUACUAAUUCAGUCUCCUUGAUCCGUUGUUUCUUAUGGCCCAUUCUGUUUUGGAAAUCAAGUGGUGCCUAAUGCAGACAACAAGGAAUUACAUGCUCACUUUAGACAAAGUACCCACUAUAUGCAAAGAAAGAGGGAUCAAACACAAAUAUUUUACCCAAUAUGGAGAGCUGUUUUUAGUAGGCCCGUUAUGGCACAUAAAUGGUACGAUCUGAUCGAUCGACCAAUCAAGUUCAAAUUGAGGUCCCGGUUAUGAGAGGUAUUCUCGGCUUUUUAUUUAUAAUGUGGGGUAUUCUAUUCAUAUAUAUAUAUAUAUAUAUAGAGAGAGAGAGAGAGAGAGAGAGAGAGUUGUGAUUAGUGAGCAAACGUCUCAAGCAGCCGGCGGCACUAUCUUAGAGGUUUCUGGGGAGUUGGGUAUGCAAGUUGCAACCACAAUCUGCAAGGACCCAGCAAUGGGAAUUAGUAAGAUGACUUGGUCUUUGGCACAUGGAUAUUGUUGUUUUAGUGGGAAGAGGGUGAUGAUGUUUGCACUUGAAGAUACCAAUCUGUCAAAAGUCCGGAAAGGAAAUAAAUGAAUAGUUUUUGGUGUAACUGUUCUCCUCCUUUUGCUCUUUUUAUGCUACUUUUAACUUCUGUUUUCUCUGUGUUUCAUCAUCCAAAGUGGGGGGGUUUCCUGGAUUCAAAUGUGCAAUAAACAAUGUCCCUCUCAAUC